GAUGAACGCUGGCGGCGUGCCUAAUACAUGCGAGUCGAGCGAACAGACGAGGAGCUUGCUCCUUUGACGUUAGCGGCGGACGGGUGAGUAACACGUGGAUAACCUACCUAUAAGACUGGGAUAACUUCGGGAAACCGGAGCUAAUACCGGAUAACAUGUUGAACCGCAUGGUUCAACAGUGAAAGACGGUCUUGCUGUCACUUAUAGAUGGAUCCGCGCCGCAUUAGCUAGUUGGUAAGGUAACGGCUUACCAAGGCAACGAUGCGUAGCCGACCUGAGAGGGUGAUCGGCCACACUGGAACUGAGACACGGUCCAGACUCCUACGGGAGGCAGCAGUAGGGAAUCUUCCGCAAUGGGCGAAAGCCUGACGGAGCAACGCCGCGCGAGUGAAGAAGGUCUUCGGAUCGUAAAACUCUGUUAUUAGGGAAGAACAAAUGUGUAAGUAACUAUGCACGUCUUGACGGUACCUAAUCAGAAAGCCACGGCUAACUACGUG
rnacentral:rRNA from 1 species